CACGCAGUAAACGAUGAUUACUAGGAGUUUGCGAUAGACAGUAAGCUCCCGAGCGAAAGCGUUAAGUAAUCCACCUGGGGAGUACGCCGGCAACGGUGAAACUCAAAGGAAUUGACGGGGGCCCGCACAAGCGGUGGAGCAUGUGGUUUAAUUCGAAGCAACGCGCAGAACCUUACCAACCCUUGACAUCGGGAUCGCGGAUUACAGAGAUGUUUUCCUUCAGUUCGGCUGGAUCCCAGACAGGUGC
rnacentral:rRNA from 1 species